AUACAUGCAAGUCGAGCGAGGCAGCAAUGCCGAGCGGCGAACGGGUGAGUAACGCGUAAGCAAGUCUGGCCCCAUAUCAGGAAAUACCCGUGCCAACGCGCGGUUAAUGUCCAGGAGAGUGGCCCUCUGCAUGGAGGGUUGACUAGAGAUUUAUCGGGUAUGGGAUGAGCUUGCGUCCGAUUAGCUAGUUGGCGGGGCAACGGCCCACCAAGGCGACGAUCGGUAGCCGGCCUGAGAGGGUGAUCGGCCACAUUGGGGACUGAGAUACGGCCCAGACUCCUACGGGAGGCCAGCAGUAGGGAAUAUUGCACAAUGGGGGAAACCCUGAUGCAGCAACGCCACGUGUGGGAAGAAGCAUUUCGGUGUGUAAACCACUGUCAUGAGGGAAUAAGGCCCGCCUUACGGGCGGGAUUGAAUGUACCUUGAGAGGAAGCACCGGCAAACUUCGUGCCAGCAGCGGC
rnacentral:rRNA from 1 species